UACGUAGGGGGCUAGCGUUGUCCGGAAUCAUUGGGCGUAAAGCGCGUGUAGGCGGCCCGGUAAGUCCGCUGUGAAAGUCGGGGGGCUCAACCCUCGAAAGCCGGUGGAUACUGUCGGGCUCGAGUGCGGAAGAGGCGAGUGGAAUUCCUGGUGUAGCGGUGAAAUGCGCAGAUAUCGGGAGGAACACCGGUGGCGAAGGCGGG
rnacentral:rRNA from 1 species